rnacentral:rRNA from 1 species
CAGCAGCCGCGGUAAUACGAAGGGGGCUAGCGUUGUUCGGAUUUACUGGGCGUAAAGCGCACGUAGGCGGAUCGAUCAGUCAGGGGUGAAAUCCCAGAGCUCAACUCUGGAACUGCCUUUGAUACUGUCGAUCUGGAGUAUGGAAGAGGUGAGUGGAAUUCCGAGUGUAGAGGUGAAAUUCGUAGAUAUUCGGAGGAACACCAGUGGCGAAGGCGGCUCACUGGUCCAUUACUGACGCUGAGGUGCGAAAGCGUGGGGAGCAAACAGGAUUAGAGACCCCAGUAGUCCCUGUCUCUUAUCC